ACAAGUAGUCAGAGCCCGUUAAUGGGUGAUGGCGUGCCUUUUGUAGAAUGAACCGGCGAGUUACGAUUUGAUGCAAGGUUAAGCAGUAAAUGUGGAGCCGUAGCGAAAGCGAGUCUGAAUAGGGCGUUUAGUAUUUGGUCGUAGACCCGAAACCAGGUGAUCUACCCUUGGUCAGGUUGAAGUUCAGGUAACACUGAAUGGAGGACCGAACCGACUUACGUUGAAAAGUGAGCGGAUGAACUGAGGGUAGCGGAGAAAUUCCAAUCGAACCUGGAGAUAGCUGGUUCUCUCCGAAAUAGCUUUAGGGCUAGCCUCAAGUGAUGAUUAUUGGAGGUAGAGCACUGUUUGGACGAGGGGCCCCUCUCGGGUUACCGAAUUCAGACAAACUCCGAAUGCCAAUUAAUUUAACUUGGGAGUCAGAACAUGGGUGAUAAGGUCCGUGUUCGAAAGGGAAACAGCCCAGACCACCAGCUAAGGUCCCAAAAUAUAUGUUAAGUGGAAAAGGAUGUGGCGUUGCCCAGACAACUAGGAUGUUGGCUUAGAAGCAGCCAUCAUUUAAAGAGUGCGUAAUAGCUCACUAGUCGAGUGACACUGCGCCGAAAAUGUACCGGGGCUAAACAUAUUACCGAAGCUGUGGAUUGUCCUUUGGACAAUGGUAGGAGAGCGUUCUAAGGGCGUUGAAGCAUGAUCGUAAGGACAUGUGGAGCGCUUAGAAGUGAGAAUGCCGGUGUGAGUAGCGAAAGACGGGUGAGAAUCCCGUCCACCGAUUGACUAAGGUUUCCAGAGGAAGGCUCGUCCGCUCUGGGUUAGUCGGGUCCUAAGCUGAGGCCGACAGGCGUAGGCGAUGGAU
rnacentral:rRNA from 1 species